AGUUCCAUGGCUCAGUGGUUAGAGUACCCGCUUUACAAACUCUGAACACGCGGAUGGUCGAGGGUUCGAUCCCCUCUGGAACUA
rnacentral:tRNA from 1 species